ACGCUAGCGGGAGGCCUAACACAUGCAAGCCGAGCGGUAGAAGUCUUUCGGGACUUUGAGAGCGGCGUACGGGUGCGGAACACGUGUGCAACCUGCCUUUAUCAGGGGGAUAGCCUUUCGAAAGGAAGAUUAAUACCCCAUAAUAUAUUAGAUGGCAUCAUUUGAUAUUGAAAACUACGGUGGAUAGAGAUGGGCACGCGCAAGAUUAGAUAGUUGGUGAGGUAACGGCUCACCAAGUCGAUGAUCUUUAGGGGGCCUGAGAGGGUGAUCCCCCACACUGGUACUGAGACACGGACCAGACUCCUACGGGAGGCAGCAGUGAGGAAUAUUGGACAAUGGGUUAGCGCCUGAUCCAGCCAUCCCGCGUGAAGGACGACGGCCCUAUGGGUUGUAAACUUCUUUUGUAUAGGGAUAAACCUUUCCACGUGUGGAAAGCUGAAGGUACUAUACGAAUAAGCACCGGCUAACUCCGUGCCAGCAGCCGCGGUAAUACGGAGGGUGCAAGCGUUAUCCGGAUUUAUUGGGUUUAAAGGGUCCGUAGGCGGACUCGUAAGUCAGUGGUGAAAUCUCAUAGCUCAACUAUGAAACUGCCAUUGAUACUGCGGGUCUUGAGUAAGGUAGAAGUGGCUGGAAUAAGUAGUGUAGCGGUGAAAUGCAUAGAUAUUACUUAGAACACCAAUUGCGAAGGCAGGUCACUAUGUCUUAACUGACGCUGAUGGACGAAAGCGUGGGGAGCGAACAGGAUUAGAUACCCUGGUAGUCCACGCCGUAAACGAUGCUAACUCGUUUUUGGGGCUUUGGCUUCAGAGACUAAGCGAAAGUGAUAAGUUAGCCACCUGGGGGAGUACGUUCGCAAGAAUGAAACUCAAAGGAAUUGACGGGGGCCCGCACAAGCGGUGGAUUAUGUGGUUUAAUUCGAUGAUACGCGAGGAACCUUACCAAGGCUUAAAUGGGAAUUGAUGGGUUUAGAAAUAG
rnacentral:rRNA from 1 species